ensembl:lncRNA
UAAAAUGCUAUUUUAUUAAUACGAUUUUAAAAUCUUUGGAAAUGAACAGUUGAAAUGCUGCAGUGUGAUAGUUUUAAGAGUCCAGCCUGUGGGAAUCCAUUUUUCAUGGCUACUACUGGUGAAGUCUGUGCUGUUUUAAGGAUUGAUAGAAACACUUCAGAUGUCAAUACUUCAUGUAUCAUAAGGACCUCUUUGCCCAGAGCAUAUUGUUUGGAGCAGAAGGCGAGUAGUUCACCAGCCAUUGCAUCAAUUGGUUUAGGUUUUGUCAAUGCAGCUGUCAGUGUUUCCUGCUGCUCCACUGAUCACUGUAACAAUGCCAGUCUGCCUGACCCCAACAAUGACCCAAAUGGAUUAAAAUGUGUCUCAUGCAACAGCAGCACAGAUACACAGUGUAAUACUAAAGUGUCCUGUGUGGGAGUCCAGGACCUCUGCAUUGAUACAGGUGUAUUGUCUUAAACUACUAUUUUCCUAUUUAACUGCUUUGUGUUUUAUGGUUAGAUUAUAUGUGAAUUAUGUGAACAACUUAUCAUUUAAGCUUACUGACCUCUAGUAAAUGUUUUAAUUGCUUUGCAAGUUAUCUUUCUGCAAAGCCUAGUUGACCGUACAUUAGGAAAACAAUAAAUACUCUAUCAUGUUCCA